rnacentral:rRNA from 1 species
UGCCCUAUGUAGUCGUUUGAUCGCCUGAGAUUUCGACGAAAGAUUUAUCGGUAUUGGAUGGGGGGAUGCGUCUGAUUAGCUUGUUGGCGGGGUAAAGGCCCACCAAGGCAACGAUCAGUAGGGGUUCUGAGGGGAAGGUCCCCCACAUUGGAACUGAGACACGGUCCAAACUCCUACGGGAGGCAGCAGUGAGGAAUAUUGGUCAAUGGGCGAGAGCCCUGAACCAGCCAAGUAGCGUGCAGGAUGACGGCCCUAUGGGUUGUAAACUGCUUUUAUAUGGGAAUAAAGUGAGGGGACGUGUCCCUUAUUGCAUGUACCAUACGAAUAAGGACCGGGCUAAUUCCGUGCCAGCGCCGCGGUAAAU